rnacentral:lncRNA from 1 species
AUCUCCGAGGUUAUCUCCGGAACUGCAAAUGCACUCCUCGGGGCUAUCUCCGAGGUUGAGACUAAAAUUCCCGGUGUUAUUUUUGGGAUUGAGUAUCUUGGGGUUAUCUCCGAGAUUGAAAAGGCUUCUCCGGUGAGAUUUCCAGAACUGAAACUGUUUUAUCCUCCAAGGUUAUCUCUGAAAGAUGAUUCUGCCCUCCUGCAAUGUUAGUAACAGGAAUGCAAAAUUUCGAGUGUCUACAGGACAUUUAUAGCCAUAUCUGACUGUGGGCUUAGUGCCUUUUUGGACUUUGAAUGGGC